UGCCAACCAUCUUUGGUUACCAGGAGCCUGGCUUUCGACACCAGACUUGGAGGCCUUUCCUCACUGAGCCUUCUGGCAAGGGGGCACGGGAGGAAGGAGAAACAGCCUGAAGAUGUUGGAUUAGGGAUUGCCGAACAGUUCGAGACACACGUGGAGGGAGUCAUAUUUACCUGCCUGUUUUCCCACCUUUGUUUCAACUGGGUAUCUCCCACUCUGCGAGGGGACAAGUCCUGAACUGGAAGCCAUUCAGUCUUUGGGUCUACUCAGGAAGUCUCAUUUGUAAGAGGAAAAACAAAGAUGAAAACUGGAGAAAGAAGAAAAGCCCAGGUCCAAUACUUAGCAGGUCCUCAGUAAAAGUGUAUUUAUUAAUUUGAAUUGAGCUGUGCUUGCAUCAGUGUAGGACCUGUGACCAGGAGCAAAAUAAAGAAGCAAAACUACUGGUCUUAUUUGGAUUUUCACAGGGAGCCUGGGAGAACCUCAAUGCAGGUGUGGAAACUGAGGCUGGAAGAGAGGAAGUCACACAGUCUCCCCAAGGUGACCUGGAAAAACUAGAACUAGAAUGAGGCCUUUAUACUUCAAACGACACUUGAAAUGAUGAAAAUAUCUCAAGCUUCCAACCAGCACUCUGGAGUACCAUGUUCACCGACACCGUGGGGUGAUGAAGCCAUGUUUUGAAAUAUUGUCCCGAGCCUCCUUGGUCAGUAUUUCCUGCCAGCCCUGCUCUUCCUCACACUCUGACAGCAGUGACUGGCAUUUUAGGUGACUGCCUUCAGGGUUCAGAAGGGAAAGAGAAAGAAAACAUUUUCAAACUCUGAGUUUCGAAAUGGAUGUUGCAAACUCAAGGCAAAAGCAAUAGUUUGAGGGGAAUGGUUCUUGAGCCUCCAAAACCUGAAGUUUCGUGGCUUGAAUAUUAAAAGGUGCAGCCCUAAAUGUCAUGAACAAGAGGUUUAAAAGCAAACAAGAUCAGCCAGGGCCAUCCCCCAGUCCAGUGCAAGUUAAGACCUUAGGGGUAGCUACAGAACCCCCAGAGAAGGGAAGGAUCCCAGAGAAGAAUCUCUGUGGCUCUGUUCCUGGGUUGAUACCAGGGAGGCAGCAAGCCACUUAUUGUUUUCUGGGGAAAAUACGAAUUGAAUAAAUUUAUCCUAAGUUGACUAACUGUUGCCACCACAUAUUAAAUCAAAAGAGAAACAAUGGAUUGUCCAAUAUACAAAGCUGGAACCACUACACAAGCAAUUGAAAGAAAAAUAUAAUAGUCCAUAACUCAUACCUGGAAAAUUAAAACUUGAUCAAAUAUUUAAUUUUUUUAAAAAAGUAAGCCAUAACAAUUCUAGAAGAAAACAUUGGAAAAUGUCUUUAUCAUCUUGGAGGGUCAAAGAUCUUUCUAAUUAUGGUUCAAAACUAAGAUGUCAUUAAAGAUUGAUACAUUUGAUGAAAUAAACAUUUUUAAAAAUUUUUGCAAGCCUCUCUCAGAAAAGAAAAGGA
rnacentral:lncRNA from 10 species